AGCAGCCGCGGGAAUACGAAGGGGGCUAGCGUUGCUCGGAAUGACUGGGCGUAAAGGGCGCGUAGGCGGUUUUGACAGUCAGAUGUGAAAUUCCUGGGCUUAACCUGGGGGCUGCAUUUGAGACGUCAAGACUAGAGUGUGAGAGAGGGUUGUGGAAUUCCCAGUGUAGAGGUGAAAUUCGUAGAUAUUGGGAAGAACACCGGUGGCGAAGGCGGCAACCUGGCUCAUUACUGACGCUGAGGCGCGAAAGCGUGGGGAGCAAACAGGAUUAGAUACCCCAGUAGUCCCUGUCUCUUAUACA
rnacentral:rRNA from 1 species